rnacentral:lncRNA from 1 species
CUUCUCCUUACCUCUUAGGAAGUUCUUGGAAAGCUGUGGACAUAUUGAAGUCAGUACAGAGCCUGCUGCACACGCAUGGCAAUCUCAGUUUGAAUGCUCAGCACCAACACGUAAAGCCUGUUGUGGGCCUCUUCUGCUAUCUCAGCGACGCAAUGGUUGAGAAAAAAAAAUCCUGGACGCUUACUGGCCAGUUGGAAUAUCUGCACUGGCGACCUCCAGGCUGCCAAACACUUCUACCUGGGAAGACGGACACAGCUGGAAUGUCACUCCAUUGGCAUUUGCCCUCCUGGGUCCUCACACAACAUGAAGAGUCUGCCAAUGCAGCUGUUGAAAUAUCUGGCUUGGGAAACUCAAGUUCCGUCCUGUCCACAGCCUUCUUUGAUGCCACUGCAUGUGGACGCUUGAGCAACAGAAGCACCUAUCACACAUGUGCAUACCUGGGAUAGAGUCAGGAGGAUGCACUCCAGGGCCAAGGGGCCAGUCAUGGCCAUUUGAAGUACAAUCUUUCUACCUUCCAUCUCCUUUUCCUUCUGUUUAUUGAUAUAAAUUAGACCUUGCUUCAGUGACAGGAGAAAUAUAAAUGACUGGAAAUCUAUUGUGGGUUGGGGAAAGGACUUAGUUAAUUAUUUGUUUCCUGUGUAUGCAUAAGGACCUGCACUUGAUCCAGCAGAACCAUUGUAUAAAAGCCAUUCAUAGCAGUGAACAUCUGUAAUCCAGGUGUUGGGGAGAUGAAAACAAGUGUAUCACCAGAGCUAGAGCUAGCUAGCCAGCCAGUCUAACUGAAUCAGUGAGAUCCAUGUUCAGUUAGUCUUCAAAGAGUGCACUGGAACGCAGAUGAAGAAGUUACAAGACAUCACCUCUAGCCUCCACAUGUAGGCAAAUACAUAAAUGCAUGUGAACACACACACACACACACACACACACACACACAUACAUCUCUAAGACAGACAGUGACUUCAGCCUCUUCCAGUUUCCAAAGUCACAUUUUUCACUAACUCUAUGACUGAUAGUUGAAUAUUCUAUUUCAUAUCUGUCAUGAAAAUUCCAAGCAAGCCAGAAAUUAUUUGUCUAAAUGCUCCAUUGUGAAGUAGAAACACAUGGAAGAAUGAAUUUGUGAGAUCAAGAAUAGCAUGCACCUUUUGCAGUAUCUUCAUAUAAUUGAUAAGAGCUUUCCCAUCAAGACAGUGAUGAAAGCUUUGGAGAACAAAUCUAAUCAGAGCCAUUUCUCCAUAAAUGCUCUUUCUCGAACAGCACACAGAGUAAAGGAUGCUAGUUUCUGUAUGGAAAAUAAUUAAUCCUCUCUUACAGCACCUGAUAGUACAAACAAUUUAACUUUAAGAAGGAGGACAUCUAGUUUCACAAGAUGGUGCUGAUUUUCUUACAACGUUCAUUUGGUUGCUUACUUUCAUUGGAAGUCAGCUUUUCAACUGCAAAGAAAGAUCAUAAGGCAAAAGUGCAUCAAAGCAUGUGUCCCAGGCUUCUGUUUGCCAAAGAAGGAUGAUGAUGAUGAUGAUGAUGAUGAUGACGAUGAUGAUGAUGAUGAUGACGAUGAUGGUGAUGAUGAUGACGAUGAUGGUGAUGAUGGUGACGAUGAUGGUGAUGAUGAUGAUGAUGGUGAUGAUGAUGACGAUGAUGGUGGUGAUGGUGAUGGUGAUGAUGAUGAUGGUGAUGAUGAUGAUGAUGAUGAUGAUAAUUCUGCCU